rnacentral:rRNA from 1 species
CCUACGGGGGGCAGCAGUGGGGAAUAUUGGACAAUGGGCGAAAGCCUGAUCCAGCCAUGCCGCGUGUGUGAAGAAGGCCUUCGGGUUGUAAAGCACUUUCAGUGGGGAAGAAAGCCUUGGGGCUAAUACCCUCGAGGAAGGACAUCACCCACAGAAGAAGCACCGGCUAACUCCGUGCCAGCAGCCGCGGUAAUACGGAGGGUGCGAGCGUUAAUCGGAAUUACUGGGCGUAAAGCGCGCGUAGGCGGUCUGAUAAGCCGGUUGUGAAAGCCCCGGGCUCAACCUGGGAACGGCAUCCGGAACUGUCAGGCUAGGGUGCAGGAGAGGAAGGUAGAAUUCCCGGUGUAGCGGUGAAAUGCGUAGAGAUCGGGAGGAAUACCAGUGGCGAAGGCGGCCUUCUGGACUGACACUGACGCUGAGGUGCGAAAGCGUGGGUAGCAAACAGGAUUAGAUACCCGAGUGUC